CAUCACCGUUUUUUUUAAACGAAACUAGACUUCAAUACCUUUCUAAAAACAUAAGAUUUCGAUUUUUAUGACCUCUGAAACAGAGCAGUUUAUUAUUUCAAAAAUGCCCUGUUCUGCUGUCAUAUUUGUCCAACAGUAAAAGUGUAUGAGUUUCAUUGUUUAUUUGGCAGAUCAUAUGAACGUUUUCUCUUGUGAAAUUUUAACCAAAUCUUCAAGGAUACCUUUAGUUUUGGAUGAUUAAAUUUGAUGGAAUUUUAUUAAGGUUUGCCUUGGUUUCUAAUGGCCUAAACAAAAUUGGCAGAAACUGUCAAUCUUUGACAGCCUGCACUAAAAGAGCAAUAUCUCCAAAAACCUUUAACCUUUUUGGUUAACUACCAUUUUUAGAGUGAACUACACUUCAUGAAGUUUUUGAGAUCAAUUGGUAUGAGAGUUUAUGAUGAUUGAGUUGGUUGUUAUGAAUUUUUAAAGAUGACACAAAAACAGCAAAACUUUCUAGAAAAUAACUUGAUUAUAUUUGUUUUGAUGGAUGAUACGAUAUGACUAAAUGGUGUGAGUUGUGAGAGUUAUGAUUAACGCACAUAAAUGUUGGUAUCUGACACUCGAACAAUUGGUGUCGAGUAUAAAUGAUAGUUUACUGAUAAAGAGUUUUGAUGAUUUUGAAUUGUUUGGUUUGCGUUGAAAAGAUGUCAAGAUGUUAAGUUUUGAGUCGAGAGACGAGUUCACGUAGUGAGAUUCACGCGUUGAAAUCUCGUGGUUGACAUUAUAUAUGAAUAGGUCAUGCCGAAAUUUUUAGUGAAAUUAGGAUUUGAGCAUAGUCAAUUCUUGUUGACCCGUGACUCAAAUACAUGCCUAAUGGAUAGUUUAACUUCUAAUUGGUUAAUUAGACGAGAUGAGAGCGAAUAGAUCUGCUAAGAAAGUGGACUUUUCGAUGUGUUAAAUAUUUCUUUUAAUUGAAGAGCUGCUAAUUAUAACAUAAGGAUGUUAUAAUUAAUGAGUAAUGACGAGAGAUAAUAAUUGUUAUAUUGAUUAACAAUCAAGAGAGAUGAACAUUAGAGAUACGAAUGUUUCAUAAAAGAGAUUAGAUUAUUGAUCGAGGUUUCUUUUAUAACUUCUCAUCAAUUCUUCAUAACAAUGAAGGUCCUUUUGGGAAGUAACGACUUGAGGGAGAGAGUGACGUUACUCAUUGAUACAGAGACACAACGAGGUUGAGCUGAUGUGAUGAUGGUGCUGCAAUGAGCGGAGUCUCCAGGGUUGUUAAUAAAUAGUUAACCUGUCUAGAAUAUGUCUUCAUACAUAUGUCUAGCUACUUUCCGCUGCAAGAUGUUGUUGAUGUUAUAGUAUGUUAUGUCAUACUUUGAGUCUUAAGAGAAUGGUUUCAUAUGAUGUAAAACUUGAUUAAUGAUAUUAAUUAAGUUUUAUGCUGUCUUUCAUAGACUGUUUUCAAUUGAGUAUUAAUGAAUAAAAAUGACGAGUUUUAUUAA